rnacentral:rRNA from 1 species
AGUGAACGCUGGCGGUAGGCCUAACACAUGCAAGUCGAACGGCAGCACAGGAGAGCUUGCUCUCUGGGUGGCGAGUGGCGGACGGGUGAGGAAUACAUCGGAAUCUACUUUUUCGUGGGGGAUAACGUAGGGAAACUUACGCUAAUACCGCAUACGACCUACGGGUGCAAGCAGGGGACCUUCGGGCCUUGCGCGAUUGAAUGAGCCGAUGUCGGAUUAGCUAGUUGGCGGGGUAAGGGCCCACCAAGGCGACGAUCCGUAGCUGGUCUGAGAGGAUGAUCAGCCACACUGGAACUGAGACACGGUCCAGACUCCUACGGGAGGCAGCAGUGGGGAAUAUUGGACAAUGGGCGCAAGCCUGAUCCAGCCAUACCGCGUGGGUGAAGAAGGCCUUCGGGUCGUAAAGCCCUUUUGUUGGGAAAGAAAGCCAGCUGGCUAAUACCCGGUUGGGAUGACGGUACCCAAAGAAUAAGCACCGGCUAACUUCGUGCCAGCCGCCGCAGUAA